rnacentral:rRNA from 1 species
AAACUACCCUUCGGAACACAAUACCCUCGGGAAACUGAGGCUAAUAGUGUAUACCAUACCACCACUGGAAUGAGUGGUAUGCCAAACGCUCCGGCGCCGAAGGAUGUGGCUGCGGCCGAUUAGGUAGACGGUGGGGUAACGGCCCACCGUGCCAAUAAUCGGUAUGGGUCAUGAGAGUGAGAACCCAGAGACGGAAUCUGAGACAAGAUUCCGGGCCCUACGGGGCGCAGCAGGCGCGAAACCUUUACACUGCACGACAGUGCGAUAGGGGGAUCCCAAGUGCACAGGCAUAGCGCCUGUGCUUUUCGGUACCCUAAGGCGGUACCAGAAUAAGGGCUGGGCAAGACCGGUGCCAGCCGCCGCGGUAAUACCGGCAGCCCAAGUGAUGGCCGAUCUUAUUGGGCCUAAAGCGUCCGUAGCUGGCCGCGCAAG